GUGGGUAUAGCUCAGUGGUAGUGUGUGCACUUAGCAUGCACAAGGUCCUGGGUUCAAUCCCCAGUACCUCCA
rnacentral:tRNA from 1 species